rnacentral:rRNA from 1 species
ACAACGCCUCGUGACUGAACAAGGAUUUACGAUCGUUCACCUCUGUUGAUUAGGACGAAUGUGUCUUAUGCCAGUAGUAUGAUGUAAUGACUGUACUAUCUCGAGAAAGCCACGGCUAACUACGUGCCCUGAGCCGCGGCAAUACGUAGGUGGCAAGCGUUGUCCGGACUCAUUGGCUGUAGAGGGAGCGCAGGGGGGGAAAAUAGAGUCUGUUUUAUAAGUGCGGGGGUUCAACCCCGUGAUAGAAUGUAGACUGAUUUUCUUGACUGCAUCACACGAAAGUGUAAUUCCUAGCGUAUCGGGGAAGUGCUAAUAUAUUAUCAGGAACACCAUUGUCGAAAGCCACUCUCUGGACUGUAACUGACACUGAGGCUAGAAAGACAGGGUAGCGAGCGGGAUUAGAUACCCCGGUAGUCCUGUCCGUAUACGAUGGGUACUAGGUGUAGGAGGUAUCGACCCAUUCUGUGCCGGAGUUAACGCAAUAAGUACCCCGCCUGGGGAGUACGGCCGCAAGGUUGAGACUCAAAUGAAUUGACGGGGGCCCGCACAAGCGGUGGAGUAUGUGGUGUAAUUGGACGCAACGCGAAGAACCUUAACAGGGCUUGACAUUGACUGAAAGAUGUAGAGAUACGUACGUUUUGUUCGGAAGACAAGAAAACAGGUGGUGCAUGGCUGUAGUCAGCUCGUGUCGCGAGAUGUUGGGAUAAGUCGCGCAACGAGCGCAACCCGUAUCAUUUGUUGCCAGCACGUAAAGGUGGGAACUCAAAUGAGACUGCCGCGGAUAACGCGGAGGAAGGCGGGGAUGAGGUCAAGUCAUCAUGCUCCUUAUGUCAUGUGGUACACACGUAAUACAAUGGGAGGGACAGAGGGAAGCGAAAUCGCGAGAUGGAGCACAACCCCAGAACCAAUCUCUCAGUUAGGAUUGUAGGAUGCAACUAGCCUACACGCAAGUCGGAAUUGCUAGUAAUCGCAGGUCAGCAUACAGCGGUGAAUACGUUCCCGGGCCGUUGUACACACCUGCCCGUCACACCACGAAAGUCAGUCACACCCAAAGCCGGUGGGGUAACUCUAACGAGAGCUAG